AGAACGAACGCUGGCGGCAGGCCUAACACAUGCAAGUCGAGCGCCCAGCAAUGGGAGCGGCGGACGGGUGCGUAACGCGUGGGAAUAUGCCUUUCGGUACGGAACAACUCAGGGAAACUUGAGCUAAUACCGUAUACGCCCUUAGGGGGAAAGAUUUAUCGCCGAAAGAUUAGCCCGCGUAGGAUUAGCUUGUUGGUGAGGUAAUGGCUCACCAAGGCGACGAUCCUUAGCUGGUUUGAGAGAACGACCAGCCACACUGGGACUGAGACACGGCCCAGACUCCUACGGGAGGCAGCAGUGGGGAAUCUUGGACAAUGGGGGAAACCCUGAUCCAGCCAUGCCGCGUGAGUGAUGAAGGCCUUCGGGUUGUAAAACUCGUUUCGACGGGGACGAUAAUGACGGUACCGUAGAAGAAGCUCCGGCUAACUUCGUGCCAGCAGCCGC
rnacentral:rRNA from 1 species